rnacentral:rRNA from 1 species
CAGUAGCCGCGGUAAUACGUAGGGUGCAAGCGUUAAUCGGAAUUACUGGGCGUAAAGCGUGCGCAGGCGGUUAGAUAAGCCAGAUGUGAAAUCCCCGAGCUCAACUUGGGAACUGCGUUUGGAACUGUUUAACUAGAGUGCGUCAGAGGGGGGUGGAAUUCCGCGUGUAGCAGUGAAAUGCGUAGAGAUGCGGAGGAACACCGAUGGCGAAGGCAGCCCCCCUGGGAUGACACUGACGCUCAUGCACGAAAGCGUGGGGAGUAAACAGGAUUAGAUACCCGCGUAGUCCCUGUCUCUUAUA